rnacentral:rRNA from 1 species
UACGUAGGGGGGCUAGCGUUGUCCGGAAUCAUUGGGCGUAAAGCGCGCGUAGGCGGUCCGGUAAGUCCGCUGUGAAAGUCGGGGGGUCAACCCUCGGAUGCCGGUGGAGUACUGUCGGGCUUGAGUGCGGAAGAGGCGAGUGGAAUUCCUGGUGUAGCGGUGAAAUGCGCAGAUAUCAGGAGGAACACCAAUUGCGAAGGCAGCUCGCUGGGACGUAACUGACGCUGAUGACGCGAAAGCGUGGGGAGCAAACAGG